CUGCUUGCCUGUACUCCAUCCUGCCACCCUGUGAAGAAGGUUCCUGCUUCUCCUUUACCUUCUGCCAUGACUGUAAGUUUCCUGAGGCUUCCCCAGCAAUGAGUAACUGUGAGUCAAUUAAAUCUGUUUCCUUUAUAAAUUACCCAGUUUCAGGUAUUUCUUCAUAGCAGUGUGAGAACGGAUGAAUACACUAACGUUUGAAAAAGACUAAGCUAUUGUAAUUCACAAAUUCAUUAAACUAGGUCAAUGAUGCCCAGAUGAGAAUUUUAUUACAAAACAGCAAAAAUAAGUAAGAGUUAAGGACUUAACCUAUGGCUUAACGGGGAAAACCAAAGAAAAGAAAGCUUUGAAAUUGCCUUCAGGAGAACAGAAUAUUUUAGGAGGCACUAUUUGCCCUGAUAUUUGCUGUUUUCAUUUUAGAGGGGUUAAAUUGCUGGACAUUGCACUCUCCACUUACAGUUUAAGCCUGGAGUGACUGAGAUUAAGAAAUUUCAGGCUGCUAGUGUCAUUUUUCUAGUCACGCUCAGUGUUUCAGUUGUGUUGUCUUGCUUUAUAUUCUAUACUGUCUUUUUUAAAAGUAUAGGACAUUACUAGAAGCAAUCAACUUAAAAUAAGCCUUUCAUGCGCGUCCGUGUGAAGAGACCACCAAACAGGCUUUGUGUGAGCAACAAGGCUGUUUAUUUCACCUGGGUGCAGGCGGGCUGAGUCCGAAAAUAGAGUCAGCAAAGGGAGAUAAGGGUGGGGCCAUUUUAUAGGAUUUGGGUAGAUAAAGGAAAAUUACAGUCAAAGGGGGUUGUUCUCUGGCGGGCAGAGUGGGGGUCACAAGGUGCUCAGUAGGGGAGCUUUUGAGCCAGGAUGAGCCAGGAGAAGGAAUUUCACAAGACAUUGUCAUCAGUUAAGGCAGGAACAGGCCAUUUUCACUUUUUUUGUGGUGGAAUGUCAUCAGU
rnacentral:lncRNA from 10 species